rnacentral:miRNA from 1 species
UGUGAUAUGUUCCGCAGAUCCAC